AUUGAACGCUGGCGGCAGGCCUAACACAUGCAAGUCGAACGAGUGGCGGACGGGUGAGUAAUGUAUGGAAAACUGCCUGAUGGAGGGGGAUAACUACUGGAAACGGUGGCUAAUACCGCCUACCAUCGGAUGUGGCGAGAUGGGAGUAGCUAGGAGGUGGGGUAAAGGCUCACCUAGGCGACGAUCCCUAGCUGGUCUGAGAGGAUGACCCGUCACACUGGAACUGAGACACGGUCCAGACUCCUACGGGAGGCAGCAGUGGGGAAUAUUGCACAAUGGGCGAAAGUCUGAUGCAGCCAUGCCGCGUGUGUGAAGAAGGCCUUCGGGUUGUAAAGUACUGUCAGCGAGGAGGCGUUACCCGCAGAGGAAGCACCGGCUAACUCCGUGCCAGCAGCCGCGGUAAUAC
rnacentral:rRNA from 1 species